rnacentral:rRNA from 1 species
GGUGCCUAACACAUGCAAGUCGAACGAUGAAGCCGCCCUUGGGCGGACAUGAAGUGGCGAACGGGUGAGUAACACGUGACCAACCAGCCCCCCUCUCCGGGACAACCUUGGGAAACCGAGGCUAAUACCGGAUACUCCCUCCCCUGCUCCUGCAGGGGUCGGGAAAGCCCAGGCGGAGGGGGAUGGGGUCGCGGCCCAUUAGGUAGUAGGCGGGGUAACGGCCCACCUAGCCCGCGAUGGGUAGCCGGGUUGAGAGACCGACCGGCCACAUUGGGACUGAGAUACGGCCCAGACUCCUACGGGAGGCAGCAGUGGGGAAUUUUGCGCAAUGGGGGAAACCCUGACGCAGCAACGCCGCGUGCGGGACGACGGCCUUCGGGUUGUAAACCGCUUUCAGCAGGGAAGAAAUUCGACGGUACCUGCAGAAGAAGCUCCGGCUAACUACGUGCCAGCAGCCGCGGUAAUACGUAGGGAGCGAGCGUUAUCCGGAUUCAUUGGGCGUAAAGAGCGCGUAGGCGGCCUCUCAAGCGGGAUCUCUAAUCCGAGGGCUCAACCCCCGGCCGGAUCCCGAACUGGGAGGCUCGAGUUCGGUAGAGGCAGGCGGAAUUCCCGGUGUAGCGGUGGAAUGCGCAGAUAUCGGGAAGAACACCGAUGGCGAAGGCAGCCUGCUGGGCCGCAACUGACGCUGAGGCGCGAAAGCUAGGGGAGCGAACAGGAUUAGAUACCCUGGUAGUCCUAGCCGUAAACGAUGGAUACUAGGUGUGGGGGGCUCCGCCCUCCGUGCCGCAGCCAACGCAUUAAGUAUCCCGCCUGGGGAGUACGGCCGCAAGGCUAAAACUCAAAGGAAUUGACGGCGGCCCGCACAAGCAGCGGAGCAU